CACGUAGGGGGCGAGCGUUGUCCGGAUUUAUUGGGCGUAAAGAGCUCGUAGGCGGUUUGGCAAGUCGGGUGUGAAAUUUCGAGGCUCAACCUCGAAACGCCACUCGAUACUGCCAUGACUGGAGUCCGGUAGAGGAGUGCGGAAUUCCUGGUGUAGCGGUGAAAUGCGCAGAUAUCAGGAGGAACACCCGUAGCGAAGGCGGCACUCUGGGCCGAUACUGACACUGAGGAGCGAAAGCGUGGGGAGCGAACAGG
rnacentral:rRNA from 1 species